AUGGGGACGGCUUUUCUGACUCUCGAGUUGAGUUCGGCACACGCCUAGUGCGGGCAGCUCUUCUGGUGUAUGUUAAGGCUGGACCUAGCGGCCUGGGCUCUUCCCCGGGUGCUCUCCGAUGUGGGCAGAUGCCCUGAAGGUGGCUGCAGCCGGCCUGUGCCAGCUGGGCUUUGAUGUUUGUGAAUGGCGUAGUAGGUGGCUGCCACGGGUUGGCUUUUUGUGUGAGUCAUUUGCUGUGUCCCCCUCCUUCUGUCUAGAGAAGACUGACAGGCCUGGUGGCUGCUUAGGGAAGGACUCACACACUUAAGGGACACGGAAGUUGGACCCUGGUACUUGGUCUGUUUGUUCAGUGUAGACUAGCUGUGAACGAGCCGGUUGCUGGGGACUCUGACACAGACCCCACCUUUUGCAGUGGCAAGCUUGUCAACUCCUGGCUGCUGGGCUUUGUGACCCAGGUUGGGGGUGGGGUGGAGGGGGUGUCUGUUGGGGCUGCAGCUGAGCUUGGCCAGCACAGUGGGUCAGAUGACUGACUGGAGAGGUGUUGCUUGCCGUGUCUAAAUGUGCUUGUCCUGUGGGGUGGCACCGGGCCUCUCCACAGCCAUCCAUGGGGAUUGAUGGGAGUUGAGCAGGAGUUUGUCUAUGGGGAACUGUGGUCUAGGCCCCAGCCUGUGUUUCCUGCUGUGGGGUCCUCCUGGGGAAGUACUUGGGGUGCCACUGUGGCAGGUCGUUCCAGCCCACUGUUCCCCCCAGGAUCUGUUUCCUGUGUGUCAUGGCUGUCUGGAAGGAGUGCGGGACAUCCCAGCCUUGGUAGCUUGGUGUUAGCUUCUCCCGGAGGCUGUGAGGAGAGUGCCUGCUCCAGGAGCUUGCCGGGCUCCCCUGGCUGAGCCUCAGGCUGAUGCUGGGCUGAGCUAAGCUAUGUACAGACUUCUGCUGACACUGGGGCAGGGCCUCCUCUGGCUCCGAUCAUUAGUGCUUGCACCUUUGACCCUUAGAGCUAGGUUCACAGGUCUAGCCUGUUGCUCUGACUGGACCUCCUUGACUUGCCUUAUCUUACCUGGAAAAUGGGGACGGCACCACUUCAGGUCAGGACAGAUGCUCUAGUCUCCAGGGAAAGGCUCUCCUCAGAUGGCUAGAGACUUACCUAGGGGUGUGGUUUGAACCCAGAGCCACACGAGCUGUCUUUGGGGGUGGACAGAUUCCAGGAGUCCUGGUGCUCAGGGGUGAGUCUGACAUCGGGCCAUAGUGAUUUGUAACUAGAUUAGUGGGCUGGUCAUCUGACACUGACGACAUUCGUGGCCUUACAGUGUUGGUUGAGUUGCCAAGGAGAGUAGACCAGACAGACAGACAGACACACAGACAGGUGGGCACAAGGGACAGGCCAGUGUACAUUGCCAGUGAUCCUUGGGUUCCUCUGAGGAGCAUCCCACCUCCUGAGCUUGCCAGACUCUGGGGAGCUGAGCGAGCAGUGUGGUGAGGCCUUGCUGCCUGAGCAGCUGCUGUUAGCCCAGCUGGGAGCAGAGGUGAGGUGUCAGCAGGCCAGCCCCUUUGUUUGCACACACAGUCUGGCCUGCCCGCCCGACUCAGCCAUUGGUUUUGUUAGCCUGGGCUGCCCUGGCUGAGGGCUUGGUGGGAGCUGAACCCUGGCAGCUCAGAGCCUGCAGGCACCUGGCUGUACAUUUUCCUAGGCCUUUGACCUGAAGACCCCACAGCCCACCUGUAGGCCAGGCCACUGGGCCCUCUGUCUGGUCAGAACUACCCAUGAGCUUAGAAAGACUCAGAGAAUGUCCGGCCAGCUCUGCUGGUUGCCUGAAUCCUCCCCUGCUUGUGGAGCAGGCCUCGCUGGCUGAACAGCCUGUGCUUGUCCGUCAUGUAACUGUAUCUGGGGCCAAGGGGCAGUAUCUGGUGAAGCCUUCUCAGCCCUUGCAAUACCUUUUUCCAGCCUCCAGGCCCGUGUGGUGAUCCCUUGUGGGGAUAAGUGACCCAGGGCCUUCUAGCAAGGGGGUCUCCACCAGGCCUGGGCACAGUGAUGCAGGUGAGAAGGAGGGCUACACAGUGCAUCUCCCACCCUGGCUAAGCAUUGAUUUGGUGUGUCAGGGCCGCCCAGGUCAAGGGUGUCUGUCCACGUUCAGCCUAAGACUCGUGGGAGCUGAGGUUUGCCUCUGGCUCGGCAGCCAUCAGAGCCUCUCCGGGCGGGUGGGCGGCUGUGCACUCCAGAAGGCUGCUCUCUGCUCUGAGGGGGAACCUUGCUGUGGCAAGAUGCCUCCUUACACCUAUCUCACUUUCUCCCCAAGUCGGAGUCAGGCCCUGAGGGCUGAGGUCAGGUCAUGGUCCCCAGGUGCUGGGUGUCAGGCCACACCUCUGGAAUACCGAUGUGGCCGGGCCACGUUAAGGACUAGUUGGUCGUGGUGUGUGGAACAUGUUGAUCCUGAGGCCUGUGCUGGGGUUCCUACAGGCCAGUGGCAGGCUUUGCUGGCCUCAGCCUGGAGCCACAGAGGAGAGGCCUGCCCUCUCCCGAGGCUCCUCCCUCCCUCCUAGGACCUCUUGGGACAGUGCUUGGGUGGACGGAGGACGCAGUGUGUCUCUGAGAGCAGCACCAGGGACCCUCUCCUGCUUAGGCCUUCCUGCAGGCUUUGCUUCAGAGUCUGGGCUCUGAGGGAUAUACCCUGGAGCAGCUGUCCUGACGAGGCCUGUGCAUGAGGAUUGGGGAGAGGUGUUAGGGAGGAGUCUGUCCCCCAAAGCGAGGGCAGGGGUGGUGAGAAUGUGCAUGUUGAUGCAGAUGUUGAUGCAGAUGCUGAGUGAGGUGGUCCUUCCCACCCCAGGGCCUAGCAUAGCAAGGACUGCAUUGUUAAACAGGGUGCCUCUGGGCCGCUCCUUGGGCAUGUGAGCAGAGCUGUGUGUUGACUCUGACUGGCUAGUUGUGUGUGCCACACACUGGCACCAGUAUAAGUGAGUGCUGUAGUGUCUAGGUCCCAUAGGGCCGCACGCUGUACCAGACAUUUCCUGCACAGUCGGUACACAGAGUGGAGGGGCUUGGGGAAGGGGCGUCCCUCUUGUACCUUCAGGGGGGCUUGGGAGAGGGGCGUGCCUCCUGUGCCUUCAGAGAGAGUUCCUAAUUUCACUGAGCAGUCAAAAGUGAGGCCGCAGUAGGGCAGGUGUGUGACACGCUGUCUCAGGAGGCCUGGCUAGGGCGGCUAGCAGUGAAGACUUAGUGUGCAGGCAGGCACACAGCCAGACCCAGAGCCGCAGGUGCGAGCACGCUCACCCCAGCACCUGAGGGGUGGCCCUGCCUGCUUCCCCAUCAUCACUUCCUGUUUGGCAGCCUGUCUGAAGGCAGGCGUGGGCUGUCUUGUCUGACCCUCCCAGAGGGCGUGUAGCCUGUGCUGCCGCACCUGUUGUUUGUCCCUGUCUGCUGUGACAGAAGCUAGCCUCUGGUGCCCUUAGGUUCCUCUCAGAGUUCACUUAUGGCCAGGCGCCUGAGGGACCUCUUCUGCCACCUCAGGCUGAGGGGCCAUGGCUUGUAGAGGCCCCAAAGAUGUGUCCAUGGCAUGGAAUUCACCUGGUGGCUCCCUGGCCCCUUGGUGGAUCUUGGCGCGGGAGUUUAGACGACCCUGGGAACAGUGAUUUGGCUCCCUGUCAGCUAGGAAUGCUCAGGGAAUCUGCAGUCAGGCUGGAGACCCUAGCUCCACUGCUCUGACCACAGUGCCCCCUGCCAGGAGGCCAGGAUGGUAAAGAGCUGUUGGGAGACUGGGUGAUGAAAGGGCGGGGACAAGGGAGCUGGAGAGAUGGCUCAGGGGUCCUAAGUUCAAAUCCCAGCAACCACAUGGUGGGUCACAACCAUCUGAUUGAUGCCCUCUUCUGGGGUGUCUGAAGACUCAUAAUAAAUCAAUAAACCAAUAAACAAAUCUUUUUUUAAAAAAAAGAGCAGGGACCAAAGCCUAGUGUGGGGGUUCCCAGUGACAGACAAGUACCCCACUCUGGAGGAGCUGAGCUAAGGAGAAAACGGGUCUGUCUGGAUUUUUUUUCUCUCUGAGACAGGUUUUCAUUUGUAGCCUAGGUUGGUCUAGAGCCUGCAGUGAGCUCCUUCAGCCUCUUUAGGUGCUGAGAUCAAAGGUGUGUGUGUGUGUGUGUGUGUGAGAGAGAGAGAGAGAGAGAGGGGGGGGGAGAAGGAAGGGGGUCACUUUUUGUUUCCUUUUUAAGAUGGUCUUAGAGCUCAGCACACCUUCAGCUCGCUGAUUCUCCUGCCUCUCUUGCUUUCUCUGGAGGUGGGUCUUGAACCCAGCCGUGUGCGUGCUACACAGACAAGCUUCUCUGUCCCUGGGCUACAGAGCAUUCCCCCUGCUUAGACUUUGGAUUUGUUUUGAGGGUAUCCCUCCAGCGCCGAGUUGCGCCAGAGGACCUCCCUUGGGACAGUAGCCACCCAGCCUGAGACCGUGGGUCACCUGGACCCCUAGCCCUUGGGGAGAUGGAAGGACUGUGAUGCCAGAGUGGACGGCAGAUGGCCUCGGGCUCGGGGGAGGAGGCCGGCACAGUGUACGGCUUUGAAAGUAGCUAGGAGAUGGAGCUUAGACAGGUUCAGGUGGCCUGCUGCUGCCAGCUGCCUCCCACAAUAGCCUGUCCUCUCCUGUCUGCGUUCACCUGCCCCAACCCUCACCAGCUGCCUGAACCCUGGUACCCCCAUCACAGGAGAUUCCCAGGAGGCCUGCCAGACUGACACGUGCGCGCAAGCACACACACACACACACACACACACACUCACUCACUCACUCACUCACUCACAAGUGCUAGGCGUCGCCCCACUCCAGGCCAUAGCCGCUGGUAAGCUGCUGUGUUGCCUUCAGCCUCGUGGUGUAGGCCUCCAGGGAGAAGAAGAAAAAGUGAAAUGGGCUCAUUUGCCUUUCUCGUGUUUAUUUUCGGCAGUGGCUGUGUGUUCGGGAAGUGGCCCCCGGGCUGCAGCCAGGGAUUUUUUUUUCUGAGUUUGGCUCUGCACUGGGCCAGGGCCUCUACUGACACGGCUCACCGUCAGUAGUAGCCGUGAUGGGGAGACACUACAGGUUUCCCACCCCUCUGCUGGGCAGCAGGAGCCCAGGGAUGUGUCUGUGGCGUCUUAUUUACUGGUUCGGAAGCAGACCAGGGAAAGCUCAGACAGGCGGUGGGAUCCGGACCCUGAGUCUCGUAGGCCGAGUGAGCCGGGAGCUCCUGGCUGCUCAUUUGCUGCCCUGGCCCUGGACUUGGUGUAAGGAGAGACCAUCCAUCCCACCACUCCCAGUGGGUUAGAUUCUCACGGUGCAGCUGUCAGCCCUGGCCAGCACCCACAGCAGCAGAUACCACUGUGGGUAUCUCCCUUCAGUCUGUGGUGGCUUGGGUGCGACCCAGAACCAAGGACCCGUGGGAAACAAAGCCUCAGCCAUCCUUCCCCUGGUAGACAUGGGUCUCCCGAGCUCUAGGACUUAGACUCCUUUGGUAGUCUCUGGUCUGGGAGCUCUUUUCUUCUGCGACUACAGAGCGGUGGGCUUAAUUGUCCCGGGGCCACCCUGGCUUGAGAAAGGACGAAAGGUUCCCUGAAGAGGGUGAGGAAACAGAACCCUGGCUUCUGCUCUCUGCCGAUGCCUGGGUGGGACUGAGCCUGGGAUGGCUAAAUGCAGAGCCCCUAAGCUGGGAGGGUCAGCUACCCUGGAACUUGUGGGUCGCCCAGCCCUUGGGUGCCAGCCCCCAAGACUUGGGUGUAAGAGGUCUCUGUCCACUUGGCCUUCCCCAGACCUCCAUGCUGCCAAGGGUUUGGGGUUCCCAUACUGGUUGAGGGCCCAGCUUGUGGGUGUGCCGUCCCAAGCAAGGCCAUGAGGACAUUCUAGGGCUGAGCUAGGCAGCUCUUAGGUCAGACUGCCUGUCGGGAACUUGACAGCAGAACUCAGCCUUCUGUCUCCUCACGCCAACUUGUGUCUAAGCCUGCUGCCCUGGGCCUUCUGGCUUGCUCUGGGUGCCCAAGUGUCCACAAAUGCUUGUGCUGGGCCCUUGGAGACCCUGGGUAUAAGCAAGCUCUGCCCCGUUCGUCAUAUAGGUGCACACAGUGAAAGCUGGGUGACUUGUGUGGACAGAAGAGCAGGGUCAAGAGGCCCCUCAGGACGGUGUCGGGGAGAAACCUCAGGCUGUGUGCCCAGGUGCCAACUCCUUGGAUGGGUAUAGUCCAGGGCAACAGACAGUCAGGUGGGUUCAAGGGGGAGUUAGGUGUGGGCUGCCACAUAGGGAAGCACAGGGACAAUUUGGAUUUGCUUCUAGGUGCCGUAGGAAGGUGCUAGAAAGUUCUGGUCCCUGGAUUGACACUAUCUUGAAAUCUUUUUUUUUUUUUUUUUUUUAUUGAGACAGGGUUUCUCUAGCCCUGGCUGUCCUGGAACUCACUCUGUAGACCAGGCUGGCCUCCAACUCAGAAAUCUGCCUGCCUCUGCCUCCCAAGUUCUGGGAUUAAAGGCAUGAGCCACCACCGCCCGGCUUGCUCUUGCAGUCUUUAAGGAGACACUGUGAAGUAGUGUGAGAGGCUCAGUGAGCGAGGCUGGUGAGUUGGCUGGCUCAGAAGGUUGGAGGGGAGACUAUGUAGCACUGGAGCAUGUUUGGGUGGGUGGGCACACUGAGACACGGGGACAUUGAGUCCUGCAGAGCCCUGUGUCUCCUUCCAGGUUUUAGGCAGGUAGGGUUGGGGCUUGCAGUGGUGUGUAGCCUGGGACCAAGGCUACCCUUGGACAGGGCACAGGACUGGGACCCAGGUGGGUGACUUAAGUCUAGACUGUGACUGUAGAGGGCGUCCUCUGGUGUAGGCUCCUGUCCCAGCUGGUACUGCCGUUGGCCUGUGUGUGCAGCCGUUGCUGUCCCCAAGUCGUUGUGUGCCUCUCCAGGGAGCUCGCUCUGCACUGCACUGCAUGUGGCAUUUGAAGCCGGAUAAUGCUGUGUUCCAGGAGCUGGCCUGGUAUUUAAGAUGAUAGCUCCUGGUCUCUGCCAGUAUCAACCUGCAGAUCAGUGUCCACAAUGAUGGCUUCGAGCCACGUUCCAUUGGAGUGUGGCGUAGGUGGGCAAUUUAGUGGAUCGUCAAACUUCCGAGCCUUUCUACCUGUCCUGUGUCUUGGAAUGUCGUGGUGUCAGGCCCCACAGUGGUACCUGGCCGAGACCUCAGUGUCCAGGUGAAUCCGCAGCAUGGGUGGCCCCCAGCAGACAGGAAACCAGCUCUGCCCUAGGCCCAUGUCCUUGCACGGGGCUGUGGCUGGCCUGCAGGGAGGCUCAUUGUGAGCAGACUCCACCUCUACACGUGUUGGGUAAGGGUGUGUCUCCCUCCCUGCUGCUCCUGUUUAGGGAAGUUCCGAGCGAGGCACUCUCAAAGCCUUGAAGUGAUGUAUGCUUCUGAGUCUUAGGGCUGGGGUAGGAGACCCCUCACAGACACACCCAGGUGGGGGCACCAGGAUAGGCUGUGCUUUUCUGGGAAGGCCUCGGAUGCGUUAGGACCCUGUCUUGAUGGCAGGCUGGUGUCAGCAGCACCCUCUCUCACGGCUCAAGAAGCGGCAGGGGGAGGGAGGCUUGGGAGCUGUGGUGUCGGCUGGGCCGACUGAGUGGUGCUGGGGAGGAGUCUGUCACACUCCUGCGUGGGCUUCCUCCCUGCAAUCCCCUCAGACCCUAUGUUCCUACAGUCUCCCCUGAGCUCUGGUUUGUCCUGCAGAGCCCAGCCAUGUGUCUGUCAUGGCUGUAUGCCGGCCUGAAUCUGAGAAGGUGCUGUGCGGCUCUGAGGUGGUGUAUGGCUCUGCAUCAGUGCCAUUCCAGUCAAGGGAGUACCACAGCUAGCCAAGGAGGGCACGCGCCCACCGGGGCUCCUGUCGGGCUCCUUGGCCUUAAGCUGCCGUCAGUUGCCCGUGGAUCUAUAGGAUGCCAAUCACUACUGGUGCGUGUUGUCCUGGCAACAUCUGGUCAACUGCCCAUGCUCUUUGUAAAUGGAGAGGGAGCUGUGAGGGUGGUGGGCAGGGUGAGGGUCGCCACUGUGUGGGGAUGCCUCCUUGCCUACACAAGGGUAAGCACCACAGUUCAGUACUGGGUGGGUGUGGCAGCUCACCUGUAAUCCCACCGUGCAAAAGACAAGAGACAGGGUCCCCAGAGCUAGACUAUAGAAUCUGAGAGCUGGGCCCUACUACAGUAUAUAUAACAUGGAGGCUAUGCAGGAAGAGCCCUGGCACCGUCUGUGACCUCCCUGCACACACUCCUGCACAUCGCCAUCUGUGA